ensembl:lncRNA
UGGAGAUAGAGGGUAUUUUUAAUUUUCAUGGUAUUUUAAAGCUGAACAGUUGUAUGUUUUAGAAGCCAAGACCCUCCCUCACAGAGAGCUCGCAAAGAGCUCCCGUCCACGUUUCUGCUUGGCUCAAAAGCACUCCUGCACUGCUUUUGCAGCUUCGGUCCUAUCGAAUGUUCCCUCCUGAAUCUAGUCUCUUUUUUCUAAACAGUAUACUUUUGAGUCAAGAAAAACCAUGGUAAUGCAGAGCACAUCUGAAAGCACAGGAGAGCUUGCCAAAGGUGCUGAGCGCCCUCAGCGGCCGGACACUCUCACCCUCCGGGGUCUCGAUCCCUGGUGGCCUCCGCCAGCACACGGAGCAGGAGAGCCCACGGGCAAGGUGUGCUGUGCCUCCAGGCUCACGUCGUCACCUCGUGAAAAGCAUAGGUACUUUUCUUCUGGAAAGUGAGAGAGCAUAUAUAGUACAUUCAUUUGUUGUUCAUUCUUGUCCUUUUUUACAUUUUAAUCAGAGAUUCAAGCUAUGAAUCUUCCCCCUUAAAAAAAUCAUCCUCCCCUUUAAAACAAUUGAUUUAGUUAUAGGAAAUAUAGAAUAAUCCCUGUUCACAGGAAAUAACUGUGGCUUGAACAAAUAAUGUAAACAAAGGAGAUUCCCCUUUUCUGGUACUGGUACUUCAGUAAGAACACCUUGCACUCCUUUCCUCAUUCACCCAAAGCCCCUCUGCUCUAUUUUAGGGAGGGGGGGGACUACCAUUUAAGGGACAUUUGUUGCUCCCAGCCGACCAGAGUCACUAGCACCUACUUCUGCGCUUCUCUCCUCAUAUACAGACACACAUGGAGAACACGAAGCAUAGAGAACAUCAACAUUUUGAGAGAUGAGGAGAGGAAGGAGAGCCUCGAGGAGAAGGGGAUGGAAAUGGGAUGCAGGGGAGGAGACAGUGAGGUCUCAAUAUUUUUGAGAGUCAAAGAGAGAGGGUCUGGAGAAAGACAGCAUGGUGGGAGAGGCAGUCCUGGCAAACAGGGAGAAAGUCCAGAGAGGGGAAGACAGCAGGAAAGGAGGAGAAAUAAAACACAGGAAAGCGAGUUAGACAUGCACUUGGUUUGAUGUUGAGUAAUGGACACGGCUUGCACCGGGCUGUCCCUUGUCUGAGGAGUCUCGUAGCUUCAACGCAGGUUAUCUGCGGUGCUGAAAUGAAAUGCUGCCUGUGUGGUUAACCAUUAUUCAUAUUUCUCCAAUUGCUCUAAUCCUUAACUCUUUAAAGGUUUGAUUCUGAGCAGCUCCCUACAGCAGAAAUUAUCUUCAAGAUGCCUCAUUAGGUCAGUACUAUCUUGAUCUUGUCCCUUGAGUUCAAAGUUUCUUGCUCCUUCAAUACAAGAUAGAGUUCAGAUUCCUUAGCCUGGAAUCUAAGGGCUUCCCAGAUCCAUCUCUGCUCAUCGCCCAUGUCACCCCAGCAGAAGUCAGCUGCUCCCACAAGGCCAGGCUGCUCUUUCUCCUGCGACUUUGGUGCUGUCCCCUCCUUUCUGGGAUCUGCUUCUUCUCUACGUUCCUUCUUUGGGGUCUUGCCCAAAACUCACCUCUUUCAUGUUCUCUGAUCUUUCCAGCCUAUGGCAAUCUUUUUCUCCACUGAAAUCUUACAACAUCCAUGGUUUGUACCAUUAAUUUGGCACUUACCCACAUAUGACAUUGCCCUUUUUUUGCUAGUGCCAACUGAAUUGUGGCUCCUUGAGGGCAAAGUCAGGUCUUAGCUGUCUUAUAAGAUAGUACUCAGCAAAGUAUCCUGUCAGAUGUCGAGAAUCCAAAGGGGGACCUCGGGCACAUCUGUAAAUGAUCUCAGCCUCAAAUCGUUCAUCCGUAAAAUGGAAAUAAUGCUAGUUCCCUACUAGGGUGAGAGUUAAGGGAGAUUAUGAAUACAAAAGAAAUUUGCGCAGUACCAGCACAGAGAAAUGGAUUCUAAAAUGCUAAUUUUUCCAGUAAUAAUAGUUGUUAGUUAUUAAUUUAACAAUAGAUUAACAUUUUAUUUGCCAUCAUUAUAAUUAUAAUCCCUAUUAUUUGAUCAAUUCAGAAAAGAGAAAGUAAUUUAAGAGCUUGUUUUUUCUUUUGAAUUCCAGAAUUUAACUUCUUUGUCCUUUCUUUAGAUUUCAUGUGCAUUCUCUAGCUGGUCAAUUGAUGGUCAUUUGGCAGGCUUUGACAAAGUCUAUUUUGUAUGCUGGAGAUGCCUAUACCAAAUCACCUGUCAGAAAUUUUAGCAAAAGUUGUGAUCCAAUUUAUCUACUGUAUUGAUAAGCUCUUUUACUUCAUCAAAGUGGAAAAAUAACCUAAUCCAGUUAUUAGGUAACAGCCAGAUUACCUAAUAGAUCACUGAUAGGCUCCUGUAAUUUGGGAUAUCUAAGGUAACUUCAGGUACAGCUCGAUCAAGAGUCGAAUGACGUUGUGGCUCUCUUUUUCUCUUUGCAGUUGGCCUCAUCUCUUUCCUUUGCAGAUGGGCUUCUCCAUUCAGCCAGGGAAGACAUCUCCUGCAGCUCCAAUUUUACUGCUUCAGCCGAAGUCCUAUGACCUCACUGCUGUAGCUUGGGCAUUGUGGACUAAUCACUAUGCUCUCACUGGCCGCAUCUGAGUCACAUGCCCAUUCUUGUUAUUUUGUGGGCUGGGGACGGCUCCACCUGAACCACAAGGACCAAGAAUGAGGAAGUGGUGAUAUCUCAAAGGAAAAUCAGGAUGCUUUUACCAGUUGAAGGCGGAUUGGAUACCCAACAGGCCUAAACUCCAGGUGUUCACACAUCCACCUUGCUACCCAGGAUGCUGCCACAACAUGGCUUGAUACGUGGUGUGUACGUCUGCACCCAGGAUCCAACCCUGCAAACUCCAGGCUGCUGAAGUGGAGCGCGUGAACUCAACCACUACACCACCAGGCCGGCCUCUCUAUUCAGCUAAUUUUUAUUUAAUGUGUAAUACGGGCAAAGGGUUAGGCUAAGUGCUGUUUGGAUACAAAGGAAAAUAAGAUGCAAUGGAACUUAUAGAGCCAGCAAAUGGCUGGGCUAGGCUAUACUGCAGUCACAGACGACUCCCCAGUCUCAGGGGCUUAAGACCACAAAGGCUUAUCUCUCACUCACAUUUUAUGUCCUUCAUGUCUCUGCUCUAUGUCAUCUUUAUUCCAGGACACAGGCUAAAGGAACAGACUAUUUCUUGGAUGUGCUAAUCUGGGGAUGCUUUUCCAGUAGAGGAAAGAACAAGAUGGUGGAACCACAUCAUGGGUCUUAAAGCUUCUGAUUUGAAGUGGCCUAUGUCAUUUCUGCUUACAUUUCACUGAACAAGCGCAAGUUAGAAGACCAAACUUGACAUGAUUGGGACAAAGAGAAAUGAAGGUAAGCCCACUGCAACUCUGUGGAUGAUGGCAAUACCCCAGGAGAUGGUGAAGGAGCAAGAUGUUAGGAGCUGGAUCCCUGAAUGACUGUGUGGAGCACUGCUACUCUGCCGGCUCUGUGCCUCUCACCUCUGGACUGCUUUAGGAGAAAAACUCUAAUUUAAGGCAAUCUGUUUUAUUUGCUAAUAAAUAAACAGGUUUUUUGUUGUUGU